GGGCCCGCACAAGCGGUGGAGCAUGUGGUUUAAUUCGAUGCAACGCGAAGAACCUUACCAAGGCUUGACAUACUACAAAUUUUUCUGAGAAGAAAAAGUGCCUUCGGGAAUGUAGAUACAGGUGGUGCAUGGCUGUCGUCAGCUCGUGUCGUGAGAUGUUGGUUAAGUCCCGCAACGAGCGCAACCCUUGUUUUAGUUGCCAAUUUAUUGGGUUUUCUAGAAAGACUGCCGGUGACAAACCCGGAGGAAGGUGAGGAUGACGUCAAGUCAGCAUGCCCCUUAUGCCUUGGGCUACACACGUGCUACAAUGGCUAGGACAAAGAGUUGCGAGCUCGCGAGAGU
rnacentral:rRNA from 1 species